CUAUUUUUACUUUUGCUAGCUUUUUCUUUUAAAAUUUAUAUGUUCAAAUUGAAAUCAAAUUUAUCAACAAGCUUAUUUACAUGUAUAUAGUGAUCUUCUUUCAAAUCUAGUGUACUAUUAGACCCAACAAAAUACAACAACCAAUGAAAAAUAAUAAAUCAAUGGAAAUAUGCGACCUUGAAGAGGAAAAUCAUACACAAAGCAGUGGAAAAGGAGAUAAUAAUGUUAAUAAUAAUAAUGAAAUAAUUGAGAUGGACAUGAUUUCAAAAUCAGAAAUGUUAACUAAAAUAAGAAGGAAAGACAUUGAUAUUGAAUUUAAAGCUCCAGAAAAAGCAAGAUAUGGGAUGAUUUCUUAACAAUUUAUUAU